rnacentral:rRNA from 1 species
CGUCACACUGCCAAGAAAAGCUUCUAGUGAGAAAGUAACUGCCCGUACCGCAAACCGACACAGGUAGUUGAGGAGAGAAUCCUAAGGUGUGCGAGAGAACUCUCGUUAAGGAACUCGGCAAAAUGACCCCGUAACUUCGGGAGAAGGGGUGCUGACCGCAAGGUCAGCCGCAGUGAAUAGGCCCAAGCGACUGUUUAUCAAAAACACAGGUCUCUGCAAAAUCGAAAGAUGACGUAUAGGGGCUGACGCCUGCCCGGUGCUGGAAGGUUAAGAGGAGAGGUUAGCGCAAGCGAAGCUUUGAAUUGAAGCCCCAGUAAACGGCGGCCGUAACGAUAACGGUCCUAAGGUAGCGAAAUUCCUUGUCGGGUAAGUUCCGACCCGCACGAAAGGCGUAACGAUUUGGGCACUGUCUCAACGAGAGACUCGGUGAAAUUAUAGUACCAGUGAAGAUGCUGGUUACCCGCGACAGGACGGAAAGACCCCAUGGAGCUUUACUGCAGUUUGAUAUUGCGUGUUUGUAUCACAUGUACAGGAUAGGUAGGAGCCGAAGAUACCGGGACGCCAGUCUCGGAGGAGGCAACGGUGGGAUACUACCCUUGUGAUAUGACCACUCUAACCCGCUGCUCUUAGCGAGCAGGGAGACAGUGUCAGACGGGCAGUUUGACUGGGGCGGUCGCCUCCAAAAAUGUAACGGAGGCGCCCAAAGGUUCCCUCAGAAUGGUUGGAAAUCAUUCGUAGAGUGUAAAGGCAGAAGGGAGCUUGACUGCGAGACCUACAAGUCGAGCAGGGACGAAAGUCGGGCUUAGUGAUCCGGUGGUUCCGCAUGGAAGGGCCAUCGCUCAACGGAUAAAAGCUACCCUGGGGAUAACAGGCUUAUCUCCCCCAAGAGUUCACAUCGACGGGGAGGUUUGGCACCUCGAUGUCGGCUCAUCGCAUCCUGGGGCUGUAGUCGGUCCCAAGGGUUGGGCUGUUCGCCCAUUAAAGCGGUACGCGAGCUGGGUUCAGAACGUCGUGAGACAGUUCGGUCCCUAUCCGUCGCGGGCGUUGGAAAUUUGAGAGGAGCUGUCCUUAGUACGAGAGGACCGGGAUGGACACACCGCUGGUGUACCAGUUGUUCUGCCAAGAGCAUCGCUGGGUAGCUAUGUGUGGACGGGAUAAACGCUGAAAGCAUCUAAGCGUGAAGCCCCCCUCAAGAUGAGAUUUCCCAUCACUUUAAGUGAGUAAGACCCCUGAGAGAUGAUCAGGUAGAUAGGUUGGGAGUGGAAGUACAGCGAUGUAUGGAGCGGACCAAUACUAAUCGGUCGAGGACUUAACCU